GUCAGACUUCGGGACGUGCGGACUGGCGACUGCUUCUCCUCAGCCGCGGGCGUCCGCCCGGCCGGGCGCGAGCGCAGUUGAGCAACCUGACUGAGAUGCCCUCUGCAGUUCCGUGGCUCUCCUCAUGUUGAGCAGGGCUCUCUAUGCUUCAGAGGCUCUGGGUCUCCUGGGACAUGAUCCUACCAUUUCCUGAAGUCUGGGCACCUUACCCCUUUCUGCAGUGUGCAUACAAUUCCCAAGCCUCAGUGCAGGGCAGCACUGUGACCCAGAGCCUAGGCAGGAGCCUGACAGAAAGAAGCCUGCAGGAUGCUCAGACGUUCAUUCAGAUGUGCGAGACGGUGCAGCCAGUGACCACGGUGCAUCCUUCCCGGAGGUUAACAGCCACUUUUCCCAUGUGACUGUGGGUGUGGAACAGGGCCAGACUGUGCUCACCGUAUCAUCUGUUUGGCCACAGGUUGGAGCUCUUCCCUCUCUAAGGAGUUUUCUACCAACUUCUGAUUUGAGGUUUAAAAUUCCAAACAUGUGAUUUCAAUGCCAAGAUUUGGGUCUGCCUUUUUUCUUGACAAGCAGUAAAAUACACAGUGCUCCAUUAUCUUCAUCUUCUGCGCUACUUGUAGGAAAUCUUAAUUUUUCUUUUUUUUUUUUCACGCUUUGUUUACUUUAAUUGCAAAGACAAUACUUAGUACCUUUGCUAGUGCUUCUUAACUUUUCAUAAUAUAAGCCAUUUUUCAUGAUUGUUUGAAUGUAAUUUUAAUGUAAUUUUGUGUAAUUUAAGACAAUAGAGCAUUUGUCAGAUGACAUUUUUAAGUGAAAUAGAAUCCUGUGUUUGUCAUGAUGAUUUCUUGUUGGCUCAAAGAUAAUAUAGCAAAAUAUUUUUGUUGUAGAAUGGUACAUCAAAGCAUUCUUGGAACUAUUCCCUUGGUAUUUAUUCCCUUAGGAAAAAGUAAUAUUUUGUUAUAAAUCUAGGGGGAAAUACUCAUUAAGUAUGACAACUAGACCUGUUCAAUUUCCAAAUAACUUAUUGCAGUAGUACAUUAAGUAAUGCAGUAAUGUCCCAUCUCUGCUAAUUACACAUACAGCUCAAGGUACUGGAGGGCAGCUGCAGGGGGCUCCUUGUAGUUCUGUGUCCUCACCUAUCUUUUCCCUUCCUGUGGUCCUCCAUGCUGGACACCCUUGGCCUGGAAUUUUACCCACUCCCUCCCCAUCCCCAUCAAUUCUUUGCCAAGCAAACAACCUAUUCAUUCUUCAGGUUCAGUAUAAUUGGCACUUUCUCAAACAAAAUAUCCUUUAUUUUAUCCUAAUAAUCAUUUAUAUUCCUUGAUAAAACUUCUCAUUUUGUAAUUAUGCCUUUAUCAGUUUAUUUUAUUCAUUGAGUCACUAAAAUUUAUUGAAUUUUUACUAUUUUGUGGUUCAUCUGAGCACUGAUAAGUAAGAUGGUGAAUAGACAGGCAGCAACCUACUCUCGUGGAGCUUACAUUCAAUGGGGACAGCAGAUAAUGAACCAACCAAUAACUCUUUCCAUGACAGUGGCCAUUUGAAGAUGAUGUUUGUUUCUAUUACGUUUCUAAUGACAUGAUUUUGGAAGCUUCUAAUGAUGUGUAAUGAAACUGGAUUUGUAGUUUAAUUCUAGAAGAGUCAACUUGUUCAAUCAAAACCUGCCUACAAAGGUGUAUGUAUAUACAUAUAUAUAUAUUUUUAAGGUGUAUAAAGAUUUUUAUUCCAUUUAAUAUGUUUGAACAGAAUCUAAAUCUGGUUCUGUUGCCCAAAUUACAGACUUCUAAAUGAAAUUAUCAACAACAUUGUUUG